GGAGGAGGAGGGGAAGACGGAGGACGGGGGGGUGGCUCUUGUGGCUGUCGCGAGGCUCGGGCUGUGGAGACGGCGGGCAGUUGUGCCCGAGCUCGCAGGACGGGUAGAGGGAACAGGGCUCGGGGCUGGCAGGACCCGGGCUGGGGCCAGGCCGCCAUGGGCUCCCAGUUGCUGCAGAUCCUGCGCCAGGGCGUGUGGGCGGCUUUGAGCGGCGGCUGGUACCAAGACCCGCACCAGGGCGCCGGGGUCAACGCGUUGCACCUCUACCUGUGGCUCUUCCUGCUUGGCUUCCCUUUCACGUUAUACAUGGCUCUUCCUUCUUCCAUGUUGAUAGUAGCAAUUUACUGCCCAGUGAUAGCAGCUCUCUUCAUUGUUCUGAAGAUGAUAAACUACCGUCUUCACAGAGCACUUGAUGAAGGUGAGAUUGUGGAGAGAAAUGCCAGUGAGCAUAUGGACAGGAGUGCAAAAGCAGAGCAGAAUAACUCUUCUACCAAGAGAAGGGACAGUAACGGACCCAGUGAUCCAGGGGGAGGGAUUGAGAUGUCAGAGUUUAUUCGAGAAGCCACACCUCCAGUAGGAUGCAGUUCUCGAAAUUCUUUUGCUGGCCUAGAUCUAAAUAACCAGAUUGGAUCAGGUUUAUCUCGUCAUGGAACUGCAGCUACCAUUAAAGGUGAUACAGACACUGCAAAGACCUCUGAUGAUAUCAGUCUGAGUCUGGGACAAAGUUCUAGUCUUUGUAAAGAAGGGAACGAAGAGCAAGAUUUGGCAGCUGAUCGGAAGACUUUUCAUCUGAUCUCCGUUGAGUCCUUUGUGUCCAUUCAGCCCUCAUUGUCAACUGCACAGGAGCUAUCAAGAGACAGCACUGAUAAAGUGUGCCUUCCUAAUCAGCAUUUAGAUCCUUCUGUGUCUAAUGCAUGUGACACUGAAAUGGCUUCUCUUGUCUCUUUGCAUUCAAACUCCUAUAGGAAAGAUCAUAGACCACGAGGUGUGCCAAGGACUUCCAGUUCAGCAGUUGCAUUUCCAGAUGUAUCACUAAAUGACUUUCCUCUGUAUCAGCAAAGGCGGGGGCUGGAUACUGUCAGUGAACUAGAAGCUUGCAAGCCUCGAACAGGAUCCAAAGAAUCAUUAGCUGAGAACUCAUGUAUUUCUGGUGUAUUUCAACUAGAUGAUAUUCUAAAAUGUAGCAGUCCACAACUGCUAGUCAAAAGCGGCAAGAGUAAAUCUUUACAAGCAGAUAAAAGUGCGGAUAGCCUGAGAAGCCUGAGUACAAGAAGUAGUGGCUCAACAGAGAGUUAUUGUAGUGGAACUGAUCGUGACACCAUCAGUACCAUCAGCAGCUAUAAAAGUGAGCAGACAAGUUCUACUCAUAUAGAAAGCAUGUUGUCAGAGCAUGAAGUGUCACCUAGAGAGGAGAAAAAAAGCAGCAAGAAAAAAAACUACGCCGUUGAUUCUGAUGACUGUCAUAUUGCUCCUAACAAAAGGAUGAGUACGGAAAGAACUAUAGCUGAAACUAACACCAGCAGUUGCAUUCAAGUAGAAGAAUGCCUGAAUGCAUCAGAGGAGAUGCACAAUCUGAGGGCCCUUAGUACCUCUGCUUCAGAAGAAGCAAAUAAGAAUCCUCAUGCUAACGAACUAACAACACAAACAGAACAGUCUCCCCGAAACCCUACUGUGAAAAGAGAUGAACAUAAAGAGAAAUCUUCCAUGGUUGACUCAAGAACUUUUAAGGAAAUGGUAGAAAAGCAGAAAGGGGGGGAUGUGCGACCUAAAUCAUGUAGCUUAAUCCAUCGGACAGCUUCAGCUCAAAAAUCCAGCAGGAGAAGGACAGGGAAAAAACGGGCUAGUAGUUUUGACACAAGUCGACACAAAGAAUAUAUUUCCUUCCGAGGGGUAUCUUCUACCAAGCCCCACAGUACAGGUUUUUGCCAUGAUGAAGACUCAAGUGAUCAAAGUGAUUUGAGCCGAACUUCAAGCAUGCAGUCAGCCCACCAGUUCAGCAGUGAUAGCUCUUCCAGCACAACUUCUCAUUCAUGCCAGUCUCCUGAGGGAAAAUUUAAUGCCCUAAAGACAAAAUAUAUUGCCAAAGAGAGAGGCACAGACUUGGAAAAUUCUUACAAAAUUCACUUGGGCACUGAUGCAAUUGUCAAAAAACAUUCAACCCGACAGACUCACAGUACAAACAGUGCCAAGAGUCGUACCAGGGUGUUAAGCUUGGAUAGUGGUGCAGUAGCCUGUUUGAAUGAUCCAAAUCUAAUGAUGCCAGAUACAAUAAAACAAUUAACAACUUCUAAAUCUGACUUAGAGGCCAAAGAGGGAGAGGUGCUUGAUGAGCUAUCUCUGUUGGGAAGGGCUUCACAACUAGAAUCAGUCACUCGCUCUAGAAAUAGCUUACCAAACCAACCUAUGUUUACUGAAAGAGAAGAUCAGGAGAAGGGAAGCAUUGCAGCACAAGCCAAUGAGGAAGCAGUCACAGUUCGGCGUGAACGCAGCACAUUUAGGCGUCAGGCAGUACGGCGCCGUCACAAUGCAGGGAGUAACCCUACCCCUCCUUCAUUGCUCAUCGGCUCUCCCCUCAGCCUUCAAGAUGUUCAGCAAGGGCAGCAGUCCACAGCCAAAGUCAAAGUCCAGUCACGCCCCCAUUCCCAGGCAGCAGUGCUCAGCGCUAGCACCUCCUUGCUGGUGAGAAAUGGGAGUGUCCAGUUAGAAGCAACACAUGACAGUGCAUCUGCUGUCGGCAGCAGCAGUUUGCACAAUGAACUUGGUAAGUUCAGUUCAACACUCUAUGAAACGGGGGGCUGCGAUAUGUCGCUUGUGAAUUUUGAGCCAGCUGCAAGAAGAACAUCUAACAUCUGUGAUACGGAUUCUCAUGUAUCAAGUUCUACCUCAGUUCGUUUUUAUCCACAUGAUUUACUUUCCCUCCCUCAGAUCAGACUGAAUAGACUGUUGACCAUAGAUACCGAUCUUCUGGAGCAUCAAGACAUGGAACUGAGUCCUGAUCUGCAGGACCAUCUACAACCACAAGAGGAGCCAUCGCAAAAAGUGAAACAUUAUUAUCGCUUUUGGAUCCUACCCAAAGUCUGGAUUGGCAUCAAUUUUGAUAGAUUGACUCUUUUGGCUUUGUUUGACAGGAAUCGUGAGAUCUUGGAAAAUGUAUUAGCUGUCAUCCUAGCUAUCCAAGUGGCUUUUCUAGGUUCUAUACUCCUUAUAGAAGGCUUCUUCAAGGACAUCUGGGUCUUCCAAUUUUGUUUGGUGAUUGCCAGUUGCCAGUACUCUUUGCUGAAGAGUGUUCAGCCAGAUUCUUCAUCACCUCGACAUGGUCAUAACCGAAUCAUAGCCUACAGCAGGCCUGUUUACUUCUGUAUAUGCUGCAGUCUCAUUUGGCUAUUGGACUACGGCAGCAAGAGCACUUUUACGGCACGGUUCCAACUAUAUGGAAUGGCUUUCACGAAUCCAAUAUUGCUGCUUUCAGUAAGGGACUUGAUUAUGGUGUUUAUACUAUGCUUCCCUAUAGUAUUCUUCAUUGGUCUUCUGCCUCAGGUGAAUACAUUUGUGAUGUACCUCUGUGAACAAUUAGAUAUUCAUGUCUUUGGUGGCAAUGCCACGACGAGCCUCAUUGCAGCACUCUACAGUUUUAUCUGUAGUAUUGUGGCAGUAGCAUUAUUAUAUGGAUUGUGUUAUGGGGCCCUAAAGGAUUCUUGGGAUGGUCAACAUAUUCCAGUGCUUUUCUCAGUAUUCUGUGGUACAUUAGUGGCAAUUUCCUAUCAUCUCAGUCGACAAAGUAGUGAUCCUUCUGUCCUUUUUUCUUUAGUGCAAUCAAAGCUUUUUCCGACUUCAGAAGAUAAAAAUCCAGAAGAUCCACUAUCUGAAGUCAAAGACCCCUUACCUGAAAAGCUUAGAAACUCAGUGAAUGUACGUUUGCAGUCUGAUCUUGUUGUUUGUGUAGUCAUUGGUGUACUUUAUUUUGCAAUCCAUGUCAGCACAGGGUUCACAGUAUUGCAGCCUGUUUUAAGUUACAUUUUGUAUGCAUUGGUGGGAUUAAUAGGGUUUAUGACCCAUUAUGUGCUGCCUCAGCUCCGAAAACAGCUCCCAUGGCACUGUUUUUCUCAUCCAUUGCUGAAAACCAAGGAAUACUAUCAAUUUGAAGUCCGCAAUGCUGCACAUGUUAUGUGGUUUGAGAAAGUUCAUAUAUGGCUUCUUUUUGUGGAGAAGAAUAUAAUCUAUCCCUUGGUAGUCCUCAAUGAGCUCAGCAGCAGUGCAAAAGCUAUUGCUAGUCCAAAGAGAUUAGAUACAGAACUUGGUGCUUUAAUGAUUACUAUAGCUGGUAUGAAGUUGCUGCGCUCAUCUUUUAGCAAUCCAACCUACCAGUAUGUCACUAUCAUUUUUACAGUGCUUUUCUUUACGUUUGAUUACAAUCGAUUCUCUGAGACCAUGCUGCUAGAUUUGUUCUUCAUGUCCAUACUCUUCAACAAGCUUUGGGAACUUUUUUACAAACUGAGGUUUGUGUACACUUAUAUUGCUCCUUGGCAAAUCACAUGGGGAUCUGCUUUCCAUGCUUUCGCCCAACCAUUUGCUGUGCCUCAUUCUGCAAUGCUGUUUGUCCAGGCAAUCGUGUCUGCCUUUUUCUCUACCCCAUUGAACCCUUUUUUGGGAAGUGCAAUAUUUAUCACUUCAUAUGUCAGACCUGUCAAGUUCUGGGAGAGAGAUUACAACACAAAACGAGUGGACCACUCAAACACAAGAUUGGCUUCUCAGCUUGACAGAAACCCAGGUUCUGAUGACAAUAACUUGAAUUCAAUCUUCUAUGAACAUUUAACUCGCUCCCUUCAGCAUAGCCUGUGUGGAGACUUGCUCUUGGGCCGAUGGGGAAACUACAGUACUGGAGAUUGCUUUAUUCUUGCUUCCGACUACCUCAAUGCACUUGUACACCUUAUAGAGAUUGGCAACGGCUUAGUCACCUUCCAACUGAGAGGGCUUGAAUUCAGAGGAACUUAUUGUCAGCAACGAGAAGUAGAAGCUAUUACUGAAGGGGUUGAAGAAGAUGAAGGGUUUUGUUGCUGCGAACCUGGUCAUAUCCCUCAUGUGUUGUCCUUUAAUGCUGCCUUUGGCCAGCGUUGGCUGGCUUGGGAAGUUCUAGUCACAAAGUAUGUCUUGGAGGGUUACAGCAUCACUGACAACAGUGCUGCUUCCAUGCUUCAGGUCUUUGAUCUAAGGAAAAUACUCACCACAUACUAUGUCAAGGGUAUCAUUUAUUAUGUAAUAUCCUCUCCCAAGCUAGAGGAAUGGUUAUCAAAUGAAACAAUGCAGGAAGGACUGCAGCAAUAUGCAGACCAAAAUUAUGUAGAUGUAGACCCUACAUUUAAUCCUAAUAUUGAUGAGGAUUAUGAUCAUCGCCUAGCAGGGAUUUCAAGAGAGAGUUUUUGUAUAAUUUAUCUCAACUGGGUAGAAUAUUGCUGCUCUCAGAGAGAAAAACCACUCAAUGCAGAUAAGGAUUCUUCUCUGGUUACCCUUUGCUACGGGCUGUCUGUUCUUGGUCGGAGAGCUCUGGGAACUGCUUCACAUCAUAUGGCUAGUAAUCUGGAAUCUUUCCUGUAUGGGCUCCAUGCCUUGUUUAAAGGAGACUUUCGUAUAUCAUCAAUGCGAGAUGAAUGGAUUUUUGCAGACAUGGAAUUACUGAGGAAAGUGGUGGUCCCUGGGAUACGGAUGUCACUAAAACUGCACCAGGAUCAUUUCACCUCUCCCGAUGAAUACGAUGAUCCUGCUGUUCUCUAUGAAGCUAUCACAACGCACGAACAAAACCUGGUUAUAGCUCAUGAAGGGGACCCUGCUUGGCGAAGUGCUGUACUUUCCAAUUCUCCCUCCCUACUUGCCCUUCGUCACGUGAUGGAUGACGGCACCAAUGAAUACAAGAUCAUCAUGCUGAACAAGCGUUAUCUAAUCUUUAGAGUCAUUAAAGUAAAUAAGGAAUGUGUCCGUGGCCUUUGGGCUGGGCAGCAGCAGGAGUUGGUCUUCUUGCGCAAUCGAAACCCAGAAAGAGGGAGCAUCCAAAAUGCAAAACAAGCUUUGAGGAACAUGAUUAACUCAUCUUGUGAUCAGCCUAUUGGAUACCCAAUUUAUGUCUCACCUCUGACAACUUCAUAUUCUGAUAGUCAUGAACAGCUAAGAGAGAUUCUUGGUGGUGCCAUCAGUCUGGGAAACAUCAAGAACUUCGUAGUAUCUACAUGGCACAGGUUAAGAAAAGGCUGUGGUGCUGGUUGCAACAGUGGAGGAAACAUUGAAGACUCGGAUGCUGGAGGUGGUGCUUCCUGCACAAGUAAUAGUGUAACUGCCAAUGAUUCUCAGAGCAGUGUAUCUCAAAGUGGUGGGAAUGCAACUGUUGGACAGGGAUCUGGAGUAGGAUUGCAUCCUCCUGUCACAUCUCAUCCAGUCACCCUAGGCACCAGCCAAAGUGCUCAUUCUGUGCAGUCAAGCCUUAUCAGACAUUCCCCUGCUCGUGCCUCAGUUGCCAGCCAGUCAACUUACUGCUACAGCAGUCGUCAUUCAUCCCUCCGAACAUCCACCACGGGCUUUGUGCCUUGCCGACGGUCUUCCACCAGCCAGCUUUCCCUUCGCAAUCUUCCCUCAUCCAUACAGUCCCGUCUGUCCAUGGUGAACCAAAUGGAACCCGCUAACCAGACUGGCAUUGCCAACAUGCAGCAUGGCCUCCCUUCUUCAAGCAGUUCCAGUCAGAGCAUCCCAGCCUGCAAACAGCAUGCCCUUGUUGGCUUUUUAGGGACUGACGGAACGACGAAUGCCACCGAUUCACAGGCAGGCACAAAUGUGAGCCCUGUGAGCCAGGCACAAACCAAAAGGGAUGAUGUUGUUUACAGAAUUCAGAUAAUAGAUCCUAGCCAGAUUUUGGAAGGGAUCAACUUAUCCAAAAGAAAAGAAUUGCAAUGGCCAGAUGAAAUGAUAAGACUAAGAGCUGGAAGAAACAGCUGGAAAGACUGGAAUCCUCAGGAAGGCAUGGAAGGCCAUGUGAUUCACCGUUGGGUGCCUUGCAGCAGAGAUCCAGGGCAUAGGUCCCAUAUAGACAAAACCAUCUUGCUCGUCCAAAUUGAAGACAAAUAUGUUGCAGUGAUUGAAACUGGAGUCCUGGAACUUGGGGCUGAAGUGUGACCUUCUUGGACAAUUAAAAUCUAGUCCAUCUCCACAAUGUUUAGAAAUGAAGUAAGGAGUCUCAGAAGAAUACUCUAACACAGUGUUGAGAAACACUGCUCUAACAGCUUAAGUAACAGGAAGAGGCUUGAAAAUGAAAUUAAGGGUAGGAUGUCAGUCUCCAAAACAAUUAAGGGGAAGCUUUUGAUCUUUUUCAAGUUAGCUACUGAAGAAAAUAUUGUGCAUGAAGGGUAAACAGGAUGUAUCUUUUGCUUUAUACAUUAUUUUAUCCAUUGCAAUGCUUUAAAACAAUCCCACAUUUUCCAAGUUUCAAAACAGGAGCAUCUCGUUUUUCUAAUUGUCUUGCCAAAAAUAUUUUGUCUCAUUAAUGUAGAUUCAAUUCAUUUUUUAAAGCAGCUGAAAACUGUAUAAAUGUUGAGGUCAGUGUGAAGCUGAAUAGAAUGUUUCAUCAACUGCAAGUGUAACCAGAUUUCAAACUUCUUAUUUCUUCUAAGUGGAAAAAAAAGAUGAUUGAGAAAACUGCACUAUUUUUUUUUAUGGCAAUGCACUACAAAAAUCUGAGAUUGCUCAGAACAUUUAUUGAUAUAAAUAUAUAUAUAUAAAAGAAAAUACCGUUAUUUAAAUUGCCUUUGGGAUUAACCACCUUCUCCUCCAUAUGGUAGGAAGUAUCAUUGGUUCAUUUUUGGCUUAAAAUUGCCCAGCAACUUAUUUAUUCUGUCCUAUUUAAAAUAUAUGAUGGAUUACCAGUAAUUAUAGAAGAAAACUACAGGGAAGCCUACUCGUGGUGAAACCAAUUAAUAGUGUAUUUUUUUUUACGAUGGGCUCAAUCAUACAAUUGUGCAUAUUUUUUCUCUAUUUUUGUUAUUUUUGUUAUUUUCCAAUAUGGAGUCAACAAAAAUAUAUGACUGGGCUCCUUUGGAAAACUGGAUGAGAUACAUUGUUUUAAAUAAGGUUGUGACUUUAUCUCUGUUUUCGGACUUACUCCUUUAUUAAGCAAAAUAGUUUACUUUUUUAAAAAACGAAAAGACAAAAAUCAGAAGGCAUGUUGUAUCGUAUUAUCUGUAUCAUUUUGCGUUUUAGUUCCUUUUAGUUGCUAUUAUGUUCUGUGACUUGAAUUUAUUUUCAGUAAUUAUAUAUUCUAUAAUAAUUGUACUUUGCAUAUAACUGUGAAACUGAUUUAUGUUGCAUAUCAUCGAUUUUUACUGAUUGGAAUUUUUAGUGUGUGUUGUCAGGGAAACAAGUUACUCCAACAGCAACAGAGUAAGGGGACAAAAUUGCAAUUUUUUUAUCUUGCUGUUUCUAUGACUUGCUCACAAUGUUAAUGGAAAGUUUUAUGUGCAGUAGUUAUUUCCUUCAUGUGAUCUGAAAGCCUGGGCUCAGUGGGAAACAGAACAAUUUGCAGUUGUAGCUUUUAGAAGCAGCCAUCUUUUAUUUUUUAACUAUUCCUGUGUUGGGUUUACAAGCAAGAAAUUGCAGUGAAACAUAACCAUUGUACAUUUAAUGAACAUAGCCAAAUGAUGUCACAACAUGAACAAUCCGAUACCAUAAAAAACAGCCUUUGCAGCUUGCUAAGAAUAUACUAUAGCAGUAAAAUGCAAAUGCUAUUCUUACUGUAUUAUAAUCUUGACCAGGUCACAUAUUUGCAAAGCUGUUCACUGCUGCAGAUAAUUGUUUUUAGCAUCUGAAAACCACAAAAUUUGUGUGUGGGGGGAGCAGCAUUAAUAAUAAAAUAUAGAAAAAAAGCUUCAAAAAGAUGUUGCUGUUCUGGUAAAAUAUACAUCACCUGCUAAUGUCUGAAUGCCCCCAAUUUAAACCCUGAUGCUAUCAUAUUUUCAUCAUUUUAUGAACAAGAGAAAAACCAUUUUCUGAGUUUUGUCAGCCAUCUUUCUUCAUAAUUUAACUGACAAAUAUUCAUUUAUCUUUUUGAUUUUCCUAAAAAUAGAAAGAAACGCAAUCUACCUUUCAAAAAGAUUAAUCAGUCAUUUUGAAUAUAUUAAAUCCAUUGAUAAAGAGAGUGCUUUGGAAGGUUAACUGGAAUGAGGCAAUAAAAACUGUAAUGUGGAAAAAUGGAUUUUUCUGAUAAGAUUUUUCUUUCCUAUUUUUAAUUAUUAAUAGGAACAAAAAAUGGCACUCUGACAGGAUACUCCACACUACUGAUUAUAUAGGUUUAUUGAAAGAUUAUAAUUUCAAGACUUUUGAUAUGAUUAUAUGUAGAUACAUUUAGACUGUGAUAAAUUUAGUUUAAAUAACUGAAAACAAAUUACUUGAUUAGCACAAUCUCAAUCACAUCUUUGUUAGAUAUAAAUCUCAUAUAAUUAGUAUUCAUGAGAAUAUAUAUUUAGUUUUAUUUCCAAGUUUUUAAGAUGUUCAUUUCCCAAUAAUUUGGUGGAAUAUCCUUUAUUUGGAUUAACUAUUUAGUAUUUAUGAAAAAAAAUUCUUUGCUUGUUGCGGUACAUGAGCUUGAAAGCCAAAUUAAUAGUUUUGCAGUUUUUCAUAUGUGGACUUAGUGGCUUUCUUCAUUAAUUUCUCCAACUAGUUAUGACAAGCAUUCUGAAAACUUUACAUUUUUUUUGCAGUUGAUACUAAGUCUUGUAGAAAACUAGUAAUCCUCUAAAUUAAUUUCUAGAUUAAGCUAUAAUAUUUAUGUAGAAAAAGUUUAUGAAAGUCAAUUUGCCUACUAUCGUUUAUAAAUAUAUGCAUAAUAAACUGAUAAUCCAACUAGGCACUAAUUUAAUGUAAAAUCACAGACAUAUACUUAGCUUCCCAGUUAAUGUUUUGGGAAAUUAAAGAAGAAAUUUCUUUUACCUCGUGAAGUGCGUUAAUUUUCAUAAAGAACAAAAUCUUAUUAUUGCUUAAUAUUGAGGUAAUGUUCUGUAGAUGUUCUUGUAACCUAGGAAAUAGAUAUGGAGGGAAGGAAAAUGUUUUUGAAAAAUUAUAUCUUUUACAAGGUGUUUUUUUAUUAUUUGUUGCUUUUUCUACCCAUGCUUGCUGCUGUUGGAGAAUGACUAGUUGCAUAGCUGCAAUGUUGUGUGAAAAUAUUGAAUAAAUGGUACAGAGUGUUAUGGAAGAGGCCUUUGAAAACUUAGAUUUGGGGGUAAAUUUUACCCAAGCUGACAUUGAAAUGCCUUCUUAACAGAUGAGAUAAAGCAAUGAUGCCAGCCAGCCCUUCAGUUCUAUACAUUUUAAGUGGUAAUAACUCUGCCAAUGGACUAGUGCAUUUGAAAGAGCUUUUCAAAGACUAUCUAAAUAUUUCUUAUGUGCUGUAGCUUCAGCCACCUUGGUUUUAUAUACUUAAUUUUAUUAAGAGAGAUUUUUCUUACCUAUUAUAUAGGUUCUACUUGUCUGGUCCUACUUGGUGAUUGGUAACCUGAUGCCAUUAGCCCUGCAAUGCUAGACAGUAUAAGAAUUAUAGCAGUAUUUAAUGUGUGCCUUAGUAAAAUGGUGAUGAGUACAUAAGACCUUGGUGGGAGCUAAUGCCCAUAUCUAGUUUUCCCAAAAUUUUUUAAAAGAUGGCUGCUCUAAAAGGCUGCACCGUUCAUCAGCAAAUAUAUUUGAAAAUACCAUUUAGAUAUUUAUACUAACUUUACACAUGACCCAAAUGGAUGACAAAAGUCACAAAGGUUAAAAGUCAAACGUUACUUCUUUAUGAACUCAGCCAGAUAAUGAACUGCUUAUUAUUACCUUAAAUAAUGGGAGGGUGAAGAUAAAAUGAGUUGGAAAAUGGAAUAUGUGCUUUGCAUUUACCAGCAUAUGGAGAACUUGCCAGGGAUAGGGUUAUGUGUACUUUGUAUGUGUCAGUGAGAGUAUGAGCGUGUGGGUGUGUGUAUGUUGUUUGAAACAGCCUGUAAAUAUUGUCGCUGUUUAAAACUGGGAAAAGUUGACAGGAUUUGUUUGUAACAUGUUGCUUUGAAAAGACAGUAUUGACAGUGAAGAAACAACAAAAUUUAAAAAAAAUCUUCUUGUCCCUUGUUUUAUUUUCAUGUUCGGUUUUUUAUAUUGGAGACUUUUAAACAACUAUGUAUAAAUGUUAUAUGUUUCACUAUUCUUUUUCCCUUGAAAAACAAUGGUGAAAAAUGUUCUGGUUAAUAUACCUUCUCUUCUGUUCUUUAAAUAGAAAUGACUUUAUGUAUUCUUCCAUU